AUUGAACGCUGGCGGCAGGCCUAACACAUGCAAGUCGAGCGGGGUUUUCGGACCUAGCGGCGGACGGGUGAGUAAUGCGUAGGAAGCUGCCCGAUAGAGGGGGAUACCAGUUGGAAACGACUGUUAAUACCGCAUAAUGUCUACGGACCAAAGUGUGGGACCUUCGGGCCACAUGCUAUCGGAUGCGCCUACGUGGGAUUAGCUAGUUGGUGAGGUAAUGGCUCACCAAGGCGACGAUCUCUAGCUGGUUUGAGAGGAUGAUCAGCCACACUGGAACUGAGACACGGUCCAGAUUCCUACGGGAGUCAGCAGUGAGGAAUAUUGGACAAUGGGCGCAAGCCUGAUCCAGCCAUGCCGCGUGUGUGAAGAAGGCCUUCGGGUUGUAAAGCACUUUCAGCGAGGAGGAAGGGUGGUGUGUUAAUAGCACAUCAUUUUGACGUUACUCGCAGAAGAAGCACCGGCUAACUCUGUGCCAGCCGCCGCGGUAAGAC
rnacentral:rRNA from 1 species